rnacentral:tRNA from 1 species
GGGGUGGUAGUUCAGCUGGUUAGAACGCCGGCCUGUCACGUCGGAGGUCGCGGGUUCGAUCCCCGUCCACCCCGCCA